GAUGAACGCUAGCUACAGGCUUAACACAUGCAAGUCGAGGGGCAGCAUGGUCUUAGCUUGCUAAGGCCGAUGGCGACCGGCGCACGGGUGAGUAACACGUAUCCAACCUGCCGUCUACUCUUGGACAGCCUUCUGAAAGGAAGAUUAAUACAAGAUGGCAUCAUGAGUUCACAUGUUCACAUGAUUAAAGGUAUUCCGGUAGACGAUGGGGAUGCGUUCCAUUAGAUAGUAGGCGGGGUAACGGCCCACCUAGUCUUCGAUGGAUAGGGGUUCUGAGAGGAAGGUCCCCCACAUUGGAACUGAGACACGGUCCAAACUCCUACGGGACGCAGCAGUGAGGAAUAUUGGUCAAUGGGCGAGAGCCUGAACCAGCCAAGUAGCGUGAAGGAUGACUGCCCUAUGGGUUGUAAACUUCUUUUAUAAAGGAAUAAAGUCGGGUAUGUAUACCCGUUUGCAUGUACUUUAUGAAUAAGGAUCGGCUAACUCCGUG
rnacentral:rRNA from 1 species